rnacentral:rRNA from 1 species
UGGGGAAUAUUGCGCAAUGGGCGAAAGCCUGACGCAGCGACGCCGCGUGAGGGAUGAAGGUUUUCGGAUCGUAAACCUCUGUCAGAAGGGAAGAAACCGCACUGUGCUAAUCAGCAGUGCCUUGACGGUACCUUCCAAGGAAGCACCGGCUAACUCCGUGCCAGCAGCCGCGGUAAUACGGAGGGUGCAAGCGUUAAUCGGAAUUACUGGGCGUAAAGCGCACGUAGGCUGCUUUGUAAGUCAGGGGUGAAAUCCCACAGCUCAACCGUGGGACUGCCUUUGAUACUGCUUAGCUUGAAUCCGGGAGAGGGUGGCGGAAUUCCAGGUGUAGGAGUGAAAUCCGUAGAUAUCUGGAGGAACAUCAGUGGCGAAGGCGGCCACCUGGACCGGUAUUGACGCUGAGGUGCGAAAGCGUGGGGAGCAAACAGG